CCUCCCUCACAUUGAGAGACCUAGACCUAGAAAAGAUCAGGAGCUUCCUCUCUCUAACUACACACAGAGCAACGGCGCACAUUUUUAGCUAGGUGAGCUCCAUCUUUAAACUAAAAAAAAAACCCAGCUGAUUUCCAUCAAUUUCAGCAACAAAAACAACCAAAAAUACACCCACACACACAUUCUUCGCCGGAAAUCAAGCAAGCUUCUUCAGUUCCUUUUCUUUACUUCAAAGAUCAAAAAAACAAAAAAAAAAAUAGAAAAAGGAUACAUAGCGGAAAGGCUAAAAACGAGAUGAAAUGAAAAAAGAGAGGUCCAAGUUCUGACAAGUCUUUUGGUGUAAUUUGAAUUUUCCGGCGAAUUCCGAGUCCAUCGAAGGUCGUAUUUGAAUUUUUUUUUUUCUGGGCCGAUCCGCUGCUGCUGCUGUCUGUUCGUCGCUAAGCUACAACUUGUAGAGCUCCCUUUAUUUUGCUGCUAUCCGAGCUCUUGUUCUUGUUUCUAAACUAGGAAGAACUCAACUUGUCCAGACUGUCUUAUUUGGUGUGCAAGUUUUGUACUAUCUUCAAUACCAUCAUCAAGAAAGCUUUGGUUGCCUGGGAUAAAAGAUGUGCCCCAAAAAGUGUUGGUGGUCUUAACUUGACGAAUUUUACAUUUGGAAUAAAGCGGCUAUAGCAAAAACUUGUUGGCAUCUAGCACAUAAGCAAGAUAAACUAUGUAUCAAGUGGAUUCACACAUAUUACAUCGAAGGACAGUGAAUGAUCUCUGUGGCAAUACCUAAACAGGCACGUUGGAUGAUCAGGGAAUUAUGGAAGCAAGGUCUACACUGGAUUAAGUACAAUGCAAUUUUAAAGCUGGAAAGAGUAUCACAAGGCAAAUAUACAUACAUCUCCUAAGAAAUGAACCUAGAGCACCAUGGAAAUGCAUGAUGUUUUACAAUGUUGCUCGACCAAAAGCUAGGUUUACCCUGUUGUUGCAUACAGUGCUUCAAUGGGCACAAGGUCGACCUAUGAAUACAGGGGGAUGGUAACAAUAUCAACAAGAGAUUAUUGUAAAUGCUUAACUUUUGCCAUGUCUUUUUAUUCUAUAUA